GUGGCUAGAAAUGACUUUGCUCAUGUUUCUUCCACCUUUGAUGAUCUUUCCUUGUUCUUCAAUGAACAUGGAUGAAGGGAAUAUGUUCUGAGUGGA
rnacentral:snoRNA from 8 species